GGGGCAGGGACCCCGAGCCUGUCUUGGCCCAGCCCAGGGAAGGAGUCUGCUUUGUGGCCUCAUAUGGGGGUUGGAGAAUGGGGAUGGCUCUGUGAUCCUGCACCCAGGUCCAGGGGCUCACAGGUGCAUGGGCACACAGGUCACACCUGGCUCCACACACACACACUUGCCCACACCCACAUGCGUGCUGUCUGUCUCAGUCACUGUCACUCAUAGCCCCACCAAAGUCCUGUGCACGCAGGACUCAUCCAGUGGCACACACACUCAAGUCAUGCACGGCCACAAAGUCACACAUGCACAUAGCGAAGGCGCACACACAGAUGCUCUAGAGCCGGCCUGCAUCACCUCCUGGGGGAACCAGUCCGGAUCCUUCAUCCUGACACCACCAAGUUCAAUUCCUCGUUGCACAGACGGGAAAACUGGCUAUAUCACCCAGUGGGGAUGGGGCAUGCUCUGGGGUCAGAGACCAGUUCCCAGUGGGCUCUGUGGCCUGGCCUUGGCCACUCCUGGGCAGUCCCUGGGGCCAGGCUGCCUCUGAAGGCCCCUGGCUGAACCCACUCAACAAAGCUCCAGGCAUCUCACAUCUAAGAGCCAGGAUGUGGUGGGCAAGUCCCAGGCCUGGGCGGGAGGAACAUUCCUGCACCAUCUCCUCCCCAAGCCUGCAAGGACUAGGCCCGCCCUGCCUGCCCGCCCGCUGACUCAGGCCUCCAGGAGCCAAGCCGGCUUGGCUCCCUCACCCACCCCAACCCACCCCAACCUGCUUCCCCACCACUGCGGCUCUGCUCCCUCUCUCUGCUGCUUGGGGCAAGAGGAGAUGGUGAGGCCUUGGCAAAAAGACCAUGAGGAAGCAUAAAAAUUCACCUCCCCCAGAUAUAGCUCAGAAGGGCUGAUUGUGAAACCCCGCUCCGGGCUUUGGCAAAGCUUUUUCCCUUUGGUUUUGUUUGGUUAGUCAAACCCCAGUGCAGUCUAGUCUGUUUAAAAAGCAGUGUCUCACACAGUUGCGUCCUCCUUGGUCCACAUGGCAGCCCUGGUAGGCAGUUAUGCCAUUUCAAGACAAAGAGACUGAGGCUUGGCCCGAGAGAGGAUGCGACCUGGCUAGGGUCACACAGUGGGUCAGGGGUGGGAUAGACUUGAACCCAGCUCUCUGGCCUCAUUCCCUAAAGUCACCUUGAUUAACUCCAGAGGGGUUGGCAGAUCUUAGCUCCAGAGGUGUGAAAAAAUGGGAGGCUGGCAAACUCACUGCUGAAAUGUGCAGGGACUUUGAGGGUGGGGUGAGUCCCGCCAGCCCCCCAGGGGUGAAGAGGCUGAGGGCAGCAUUGCACAGCGAGGUCUGCAGUGACUCAGGGUCUCCAUUUACAAAUGAACAUGUGCGAGGAACAUCACUUCAUUUUUCUGUAAUGACCUGAAUUUCCCUUUUGCUUUCUCGUUAACCCACCCAAUAGAAAAGUAAUCUGAAAUCAGUCUUGGGACCCUCCUUUCCCCAGGGAGGCAUGUAAGUUUUGGGGCUGGCACAUUUGAAGACUUGAGGCAGGCCCCUGGCACUUUGAAUUUUAGAAGCUGAAUCCCUGAUCCUAUCACUCGCAUGAAAUUUUGCCUGCAUUCCUCAUU
ensembl:lncRNA